AUGAAUGUAGUUGUAAUGAUUGAACAAAUUUUAAAAAUCUAAUUUCCAAUUUCAACAUUUCCUUUUCUUCUCUAUUUCCGACUAUAACUUUCUUUACAGAAAAAAAUAUAAUGUAAAACGAAAUACAUAAUCCUAAAAAUAAAAUAUGUUGUGUUUUUAUACGGUAUGAAGGACAUCACCGACGGCCUCCGCCGGAGAAAAGGCCAAGAACAUGAGAGCCGCCAUGAUUCCUACGGGAAAGAAGAGAAGCAUCAAUGGCGGAGGAGGUAACGGCGGCAACAUCAACGGAAGAACCACCAUAGACGCCGCCAACGCCAGCAGUAGUAGAAAUCCCCCUACGCCAAAUCCAAAUGGCCCAAAAUACUUUGACAUCGUACGAUUGCUUUCCUCUAAUCUCAUUACCCUCAACACUCUUUAUCAUUUCUCGCCGGAAUCGGCGGUAAAUCAAAUAUGAAUUCGAUCGGAAGGAAUUAUAACAUGAAAGGAUGAUUAAGUGAAAAGGGUUGGGGUUUUAGCUUUAGG
rnacentral:lncRNA from 1 species